GCGCACGGGUGAGUUAACGCGUGGGUGACCUACCCUGGAAUCUGGGAUAACACCGCGAAAGUGGUGCUAAUACCGGAUACGAUCCUCUAGCGAUAGGGGGUGAAAGUCGGCCUCUCGAAGAAGCUGAUGUUCCGGGAUGGGCUCGCGUCCUAUCAGCUAGUUGGUAGGGUAACGGCCUACCAAGGCGACGACGGGUAGCUGGUCUGAGAGGAUGAUCAGCCACACUGGCACUGGAACACGGGCCAGACUCCUACGGGAGGCAGCAGUGAGGAAUUUUGCGCAAUGGGGCAACCCUGACGCAGCAACGCCGCGUGGGUGAAGAAGGUCUUCGGAUCGUAAAGCCCUGUCAGGUGGGAAGAAUGUCUUCAAGGUGAACAAUCUUGGAGAGUGACGGUACCACCAGAGGAAGCACCGGCUAACUCCGUGCCAGCAGCCGCGGUAA
rnacentral:rRNA from 1 species